rnacentral:lncRNA from 1 species
GGACCCAACAUUCCCUGAGUAUGCCAGAAACGAAGUUAUUUUGGAUGUGGAAGUCGCAUUGUACAGCCAUUUCUGAACGGGAACUCGGGAUAAAGGAUUCUGCGAUGAGCAGGGUGGUAGUGAUUCUUGGUGCAACACUGCUUCUUGCAGCUCUGGUCUGCAAUGUCCAGGCGCAGUUCAUUGGAGGAUUUUUUCCUUGGUGGUGGUCGAGAUGGUGCAACGGAAUAUGGUGCCCCUUUGGAACUCGCUGUGUAUUUGGACUGUGCCUACAAUUUCCUUGCGUGCCUGUUAGUUAUUGUGCUCCAUUUUUCUAGGGAGCAGGAGGACGGAGUGGAUAACACGUGGUAAACAGCUACGUAAUCACGCUUCGAUUUGCCCAAAAGGAUGCAAGAAAUUCAGCGCAUCAUCAAGUAGGACGCGCUUAACGCGACCCUAUAGGGAGAAAUAUUCAGUUAUAUUGCCUAAGUAAAGUACGUCUCUGCAUAAGCAAAGCGGCCAUUCUGACCUUGCUUUAAGCUUGAUAAGCGAGAAAAGACUAAGACGAAAGGAUCGCCACCACGCAACCCUGAAGAUCCCGCAUUAGCUCGCCGUGACGUCCCUGACGUUGACAAGCUACUCGUAUGUAGUUAAGUCUUCAACGCUAAAGAAGGACUGCGUUGCCAUUAUAAAGUAACCUGAGACAUAACUUAGCCAGUUUGGAUAGCGUUUGAUGUGCCUGAAAGUCCGAGAAAAAUAAUUUGACAUCCAGGAUGUCACGUUGACAUGUUCACGGUUAGGCUUCGGCGCAAAAUAAAACCGUGAGACUUCGGCCUUGAGUUUAUUCCUCACCAAUCAAUUCUAUUAACCUAAUGAAUGCCAAUGAAAUAUUUUAAAGACUAAUUUAACGCUGCUUUUAGUGUCUCUUUGGAUCAAAUU